AUACUUACCUGGCAGGGGCAAUUCGUGAUCACGAAGGUGGUUUCCCCAGGGUGAGGCUCCCCCAUUGAACUCCAGACCUGUUGACCCCUGCGAUUUCCCCAAAUGUGGGAAACUCGACUGCAUAAUUUAUGGUAAUGGGGGACUGAAUGCGCUCUCUCCCCUG